rnacentral:misc_RNA from 1 species
AGAGGGUAAGACUCCAAUAUAUUCAGCCAAGAAAUAAUGAAAUUGAGGAUCAGGAGUAGCAACAGAGUUGCCUGGCAAAUUCUAUAUGACGUUGAAUCUUGAUAAGUUUGUCCCAGCCUCAACAAAACUGCUCAUUUGCCAGGGAUGUUCCUAACCAAUAUAACCAUAUAGAAUUGUCACUUAAUUCACCUGCCAGGAUAAAGAGAUAAGGUGGCCAA